AACACGGACCAAGGAGUCGAGGUUUUGCGCGAGUGUUUGGGUGUAAAACCCGCACGCGUAAUGAAAGUGAACGUAGGUGAGAGCUUCGGCGCAUCAUCGACCGAUCCUGAUGUAUUCGGAUGGAUUUGAGUAAGAGCGUAAAGCCUCGGACCCGAAAGAUGGUGAACUAUGCCUGAAUAGGGUGAAGCCAGAGGAAACUCUGGUGGAGGCUCGCAGCGGUUCUGACGUGCAAAUCGAUCGUCAAAUUUGGGCAUGGGGGCGAAAGACUAAUCGAACCAUAAAGUAGCUGGUUCCCUCCGAAG
rnacentral:rRNA from 1 species